rnacentral:rRNA from 1 species
AUACGUAGGGGCCAAGCGUUGUCCGGAAUCACUGGGCGUAAAGGGUAUGUAGGCGGUCUUGUAAGUCAGAUGUAAAAUCUACGGGCUCAACCCGUAGCCGCAUUUGAUACUGCUUGAUUAGAGAGUGCUAGAGGAAAGCGGAACUUCCUGUGUAGCGGUGAAAUGCGUAGAUAUAGGAAGGAACACCAGUGGCGAAGGCGGCUUUCUGGGGCACUUCUGACGCUGAGAUACGAAAGCUAGGGGAGCAAACGGGAUUAGAAACCCUUGUAGUCC